UACGGAGGGUGCAAGCGUUAAUCGGAAUUACUGGGCGUAAAGCGCACGCAGGUGGCUGAGUCAGUCGAUUGUGAAAGCCCUGGGCUUAACCUGGGAAUUGCAGUCGAUACUACUCAGCUAGAGUAUGGGAGAGGGUAGUGGAACUGCAAGUGUAGAGGUGAAAUUCGUAGAUAUUCGCAAGAACACCAGUGGCGAAGGCGGCUCACUGGCCCGAUACUGACGCUGAGGUGCGAAAGCGUGGGGAGCAAACAGG
rnacentral:rRNA from 1 species